AGGCGAUCACCUCCCCAUUCCCAGAUCGAAGUUCAGAAAAGUUACUUUUUUUGAACUACAGUUCCCAGAACCUACCAUUCUACUACUAUGCCGGAAACUGUCAUCCAGAAAAGUUACUCUCUGGACUUUGCCCCCAGGGGGGAAUCCAUCCGUAAGAGAAGGAGAAAUGGUUUUGCAUACGUCGAGCAGGAACUGGAAGGGUGGAGAAAUUCAAGUUUGAACCCUCUUGGGACAAACCCUGACUGCAUCUAACACAGAAGAACAGCCAGAGGAUGAAUUGCACCCUCUGGAGGUCACCGAAAGCCUUUCUGUGGGCCAGGAGUGAAAUCCUGAAACAAACCGGGCAAAAUUAAAGGGGGAAAGAGAAAUAAACAAUGGAGGAAGAGAGAGACA
rnacentral:lncRNA from 1 species